UCAACUCUGGGGCCGGAGGCAAACUGGGACAAAAGUCAACAUAUUUGUGCCUUUCUGCGGGGAGGAUGGGGGUGGACACUCAGGAUGCAUCUCAUCUACUGUUCACUGUCCCGUUUGGGAGGGAUACAAUUGUCCUCCCCACUUUAUGGCAGCUCCAAUGUUAUGUCAAUUUGCCUGUAAAGGGAUUUCUAUCUUUUGUUUCCAGACUCCUGAAUUUUACAGACUUGAAUUCACCCAACAGGUAACACUGCCCCGGUAGUCAGGCGUUCUCUGCCUGUCUUGCUGGUGACGCGCAGCAGGGUUUUCUCGCUUUCCAUCACGGUCACAAUAGUGAUUUACAAUUAUCGUUAGACGUGCAGAUUUCCAAGCUCUGCCCCCAGAUUUUAUGAUUCAGUAGGUUUGGGAUGGCUUCCAGGAAAUCCGCAUUUUUAAUAAUCAUCUCAGGAGAUUCCAGUGGGUAGAGGAAUGGAAAGUAAGUCAGUGUUUUUACUUGUCUGCUAAGAAUUCCUCUUCACCCCUGGGUGGUGGGUGAGCAGUUGCCCCCUAGACCAUCCAGUGGCGGGGAAAGGGGAAUGGAUCCUGGGUACUUUGUAUGAGUGAAAUAAUCUCACCUUCCCAGUCAUCCAGGAAGGUGGGUAUUGUCAUCGCCCUCAUUUUACAGGUGAGGAAACCGAGGCGUAGAGGGAUGCACCAAUGUCGAUGGAGGUUGUCAGUGGCAGAGUCUUGAUUUAUAACUAGGUGUCUCUAACUGCAAGACCCAUUUAUCUUCCUCUGGGAAGGAGCGGAUGAGCUAUAAAGGGGAAUAAAAAUGAUUUGUCCAGUGGUGAAGUCAGGGCUUUGGGGACUGAUGUGGACCGCCCCCCUCCCAGGGGCCAAGCUACCAUUUCAGCAGUAAGGGCAGCUUUGGGCCUCCCAUACCCUCAGAGAGGGAGACUUGUGGCAUGCCCUCCUGAGUGCUGUGACCUGGCGUUGUCCUCUCAGAUGCCACCAAGGGAGCAGUGUCUCAGCCCCUUUCAUGGGCUGCUUCCCACCCAAGAAAGGCUCCAUGUGUCCCGGAGCACCCUCCCUAUAGCCACAGCUUAAAGGCUUUGGGUCAGACAACCGCUCUUUCCAUUUGGAACUGUACCCCUGGGUAUUGGAUGUGGCCAAACCAGGCCCCUGGGUGGCCAGGAGAAAGUGAAAGGGCCACUGGGAGCAGAAGACCCAGCCCCAGCCCUGGGGAAGGACUUACAUCCAGAUCUGGAAGAUGGCGCAUAUGCCUGAGAAACGAUCAAGUCACAGUGUAUCACAAAGGAAAAAUUAAAAAGGUGACUUGUCAACAGGUGCUUAUUGACAAAGUACAACCAGACUAUUCGAUGGCCAGGGAGGCUGGAACAAGGGGCAUCAGAAGAGAGGUCAGGAGAGGAUUCCAGAAAGAGGUGUUUAGCAUUGAAUAUUUUGAUAAAAGAAAGAGGGGGCAGAGACUGAUUGAUUGAUUGAUUGAUAGGACAGUUAUUACCAGAUGUUUACCAUGUACCAGGCCCUGUGCAGUGACCUAGGUUAAGAGACACCCAUGGAGCCUGAACCUGUGGGAACUGCUGACUCUGGGGGAAGAAGAUGCUUAGCAAGAAGGUGGUGAAGUGUGAUGAUGCUCGUAGGCUCCUCCAAUGCUGCACCACUCAGCUAGGGCAGGACCACGCUACACCAGGAGGUAAAGUGCCGAAUAUUCCCCCAUGCCACUGGCUCCGCCCCAACCCCCAGGCUCCUGUUCUGCUCCGUCUAGGGUGAUGCUGGCACAAGAGUUCCUGGACUGAGGAUGCCACCUUAGCUGGGAUUCUGAGCCUGCAAAUGUAAGGCCAAACAGGGACCCUGGUGGAUGUGCCACGGUGAAUGCCAUUUGCUGCUGAGCCCCGAGUGCUAAGCUCACCCCUUCCUGGGCAUCCCGUCAAAUUUUCCAUUCACGUGACUUGAGCAAAUAGCUGUCACGGUUGUUAUGGGCACAGCCCUUGACCGGGCACUUCUCACUGUACCACCCAGUGCAGAUGGCAUUGUCAUCCCCAUUUUAUAGAUGAGGGCACUGAGGCUCCCAGGAGUCACGGUGAUCUCGCCCAGGGCCCUGCAGCUUGUGAGUGGUACGCAGGUGGGGCUGAAACCACUGUCCUCUCUGACCCUGAACCCUGCAUCCACCCAGCCCACCUGCUACCUGCUGCCAAAGUUCACCUCCACAGAAACCCAAGGCAGGACCAACAUUGCUCUCCAAGGAGACAGACAGGUCACUGUAGUUCCUUGACGUUCUGGGAGGAGCAGAGGCCAGUGGUGAGUGAGGCCAGGAUUUUGGAGAAGACAAAGCAUGCUGUAGCAGCCAGAAAAGGGGUCUGGCCUGGAGAGGGGAUUUCAAAGAGCUGGGAAUGCCAAGGGCGUGAAGAAAUGUCCUAUUUACGAUUUCCUCUGCACAGACCAUUAGGAAGUGGAAUAAUGGAUGUGAUACGUGCCUGUGAAUUUGAUGGGGAAAUUGAAUGUGAAACGAUUCAUGGAUGCUGUUUGAAACGGCAGAUUGCAUCCUGAUUUUUACUCCUGGGGUGGGAUGAAAUGAACCAAAGGGAGCACCGCGAGGUUUGCGUAUGUGGCAUAAGCCGUGCUCGCACACAGACAGAGCUUUCAUGAAAGGCUCAGAGCCAAGAGUGAUAGUAGUAAUAAUGAUGAUCAUAACCAGUAUUUCCUGGGUACCCGCUCUGUGCCAGGCUCUGUGCUCUGCCUAGGCUGCAGGCACCAUCUUCUUUCAUCUUCACACAGACCUAGAGGGGAGUUAAGACCCAUUCCACAGAUGAGGGAUCUGAGGCUUAGUUUCUUGCUCAAGGUCAAGUCAGUUUUACCCCAAAGCCAUUCUCUAGAAACCCCUGUCAGCAUGCAGGAUCUCAGGCCCUACCCCAGCCUCAGAAAAUCAGAAUCCUCCUGUUAACCAGAUCCCUAUGUGAAGCACUAUAAACACGCCCAUACUCCCAAGAACCAAUCAGCUGUAUGACCUUGCGUAUCAUCAAGAGCAUGUUUCUUCUCUUGCCCUGAGUCAGAGAGAGGUGACACCUUUGUCACUGACCCCUUGACAUCUGAGCUCCCACAACAACCUUAAUAUACAUCACUACUUAUUCUGACUGAAAAUCCCUGUGCCUUUGUUUUCCCAUCUCUCAAACAGGCAUGACGUCAUCCCUCUAUGGGGUUAUUGUCAGAAAACACAGUAGGAUGCCUAGGAGGGCACCUGGUGCGGGUGUACAGAGGGGUUGAUGAGUGUAUAUAAAAUGAAUUGAUGGAUCAUACUGGAACCCAUCAUUGUCAAAGGCUGGUUGUGUGCCUUGUCCUGGGCUAAGUGCUCCAGAGGUAGCUUCUCAUUAAAGCGAAUUUUCACAGCCUCACCAAGGAGGCAUGGUUAUCCCUGUCUUGCAAGGAAGAAACCCUGAGAGGUUAAGUUAUUUGCCUAAAAGCACACAGCUAGGAAAUGGCAGCCCUGAGAUUCAAACCAGGCGCCUUUAGAUCUGAAGCCAGGCUGUGUCUCCCUCAUGUCAUGGCUCGCGUCUCCUCCUCCUGCAAUAUUCCAGACAGUCACCAGCCCUGAGUGCCCUUCCAGGGGCAGCACACUCCCUGGAGCUGGCUGUCCACGGAGCCCCAUCCUGGUCGCUCAUCUCUCCCCUCCGCUCUCUCCCGCUUCUUCCGCAACCCAUGUUCCGAGUUGCCACUUGCCUGCUCCAGGAGUUCCUGUGGCUCCCCGGGGCCUCCCCUCUCAAAUCUAAAUGGCUCAAUCUGUUCUCCAAGGUCCCUUCGACGCCCCGACAUCAUUUGUCACUGUUUCCAAACACCCAUUCUGCUCCAGCCAAGCUCAUCUGUUUACUGUCUCCUUGUCCCUGUUGUCGCACAGGCCACUUCUCCCAUUCCUGGCGCUUUUUCCCACAUCUCUGCUGUUCUGUUCACUUUUGCAAAACCCCAGAUCAAAACUGGGCCUUCUCUAUAGGAACUCAAACCAAGGCAGCAGUUUUUGACUCAUUCUGGGGACCAGGCCCCUCUGAGGACCUACUGGAAGUUAUAGACCCUUGCUGGAAAAGUGCACAUACCCAUAAUAUUUCACAUGCAAAUUCUGGAAGUCUCCAGACUCUUGGAGUCCUAGUUAAGAACCCCUGAGCUAGGGGAAGUACAUGCUAAGCUUUUGGAAGGAUGUGUCAAACUGGCUUUUGGGGUGAAAAAUAGGCCAGCCUAGGGGGGCACGUUUUGAAGUAUGUGCUUUGCGUUUACUUCAAGAAGAAAAAUGGGUCUCUGGCCAGAUCAGUUUAGAAAACACUGCUUUGUGACCUCUGAGCUCAAUUUCUUCACUUGUAAAAUGGGGCCAAUAAAACCUGCUUUUAUAUAAGUUGUCAUGGUGAUUGGAUGAGUUGCCUUGUGGUAUAUCGAGGACCACCUUCUCUUUGGGCCCCUGCAUCUUUUUUUUUAUAAGUUUCUACUUAGGAUGUUUUUAAAAUUUUAUUUAUUUAUUUAUUUAUGGCUGUGUUGGGUCUUCGUUUCUGUGCGAGGGCUUUCUCUAGUUGCGGCAAGCAGGGGCCACUCUUCAUCGCGGUGCACGGGCCUCUCACUGUCGCAGCCUCUCUUGUUAUGGAGCACAGGCUCCAGACGCGCAGGCUCAGUAGUUGUGGCUCACGGGCCUAGUUGCUCCGCGGCAUGUGGGAUCUUCCCAGACCAGGGCUCGAACCUGUGUCCCCUGCAUUGGCAGGCAGAUUCUCAACCACUGGGCCACCAGGGAAGCCCGGACCCCUGCAUCUGGUGUACUUUUCAAGAGGCCACCAGGAGGGGGAGAAGCUGAGACUCCCUGCUGCCCAUCGCCAGUGGAGAGUAGGGUCCCAGGGAGCUGGGAGCCUGGUGAGCGUGACUGUGGCUCCCAGUUUUUCCUCUAAGCCAGCAGAAGGGGCUGUGGAAGAGAGCCAAGGUAGCCCUUGCUAGGAGAGCAGCUGCUGCAGCCCUGAGUCUGGCUCUGACUCUUGUGUCCACAGGGACUAGAGAGCUGGUCUGGCCCCAGAGAGGCAGGGCAGGUUUGUGUUUCACAGCCCUGAGCCUCUAAAUGGAGCUAACUCCGCGCAGCCAGGGGCCUUACUGGCCCAUUAGCGCUGCUCUGGACAAUUGCAAAUCAACGCUCUGAAAAGAGACAGCUGUCCAGGUGCAGAAGGGGGACAGAGCGGCCCCAGCCAAGCCGCAGAAGGCCAGAGGAGGGAGGGGAGGCUGUGGGAAGAGCAGCCAGGGUAGCCUGGGGCCAGGGGCUGGGGCAGGGGGAGCCGUGCAGGGCAUCCACACGACCUCCGCUAGGGGCCGGAUUCCGGGCUGGUUCUGGGGAUGCAGGAGUAAAUGGAGAAUGAGUGGCAGCUUCAUUGAGCACCUACUAUGUGUCAGCCACUGGGCUAGGAACCCCACAUUCUCUGUCUUUUAAUCCUCUUCCGUACAUGCAGACUAGGCUAUGUGUUCAACCAAAUCCCGGUUCAGUUUCCCCUUCCUGAGCACACAGGAAAACUACAUUUCCUAUCCCCCUCUGCAGUGGCGGGGGCAUUUGAUGGAGUUAUGGCCUAGAAAGAGCAAGCAGAAGUGACCUGAGUGGCUUCCGGGUUGAGGCAGCGAAGAAGCCGUGGGCAGCCUCCUCUCCUCACACCCCCUGCCGGGGUGAUCUCAGAGGCCACAUGUCCCAGAUGGACAUGUGAGGUUGUGACCAUAAACUGGUAUUGGGUUAAACCACUGAGAUUUCAGGAUUUGCUAGUUGCAGGAGCCAGUGUCAAUUUCCCGGGCUAAUAUGCAGUUCACUGGUAGAAUGGCUUGUUCCCACUUUGCAGAUGGGGAAACUGAAGUUCAGACAGGGUUAUUCACCUAGCCAGCAGGCUCAGCCUCAGACCCUGUGCCCUAUUAUACCCACUCUACCCCUCCAGAAACUCAGGGUCUAGAGGGGCAGGACAACAUCAGAGCAAAUCAUGAUGAAACGCGACAGGGGGUACAUGGGGUGCUAUGGAAACAAGGAGCAAAGAGCCAGGGAUUUUGGGGAGAGGGGCUUCUCAGAGCUGAGUCAUGAGGGGUACGACAGGUGGACCAGGCAGGGAAAGGAUAGUCAAAGCAGAGGGCCCCCUGGGUGCAAAAGCCCUGAGGUCUGUGUGUAGCAAUGGUUCUAAGCAUUUGAAAACAUAUGGGAUGUUGACAUAGCCAGAGUUAGCCUCCAACUGGGUGGCAAUGACAGGGAGACUAAAUGAGUUCCAGGACUUACAGCAAGAAAGCUUGAGAUAAGAACCAAGGAAGGAAUUCCCUUGACUGGAACUGUUAAAAAACAAAAUUUAUGAGUAAACGCAAAGCUCCAAUUGGCCUUAUUAAGCAAUUCAUGAAUCAGGCAGCAUCUCAUCUGGCAAACAGGGAGAUACUCUGAGGGGUUACACAACAUGGAAGGCUGUUACAGUAAGGAGCGGAGGGACAAGGUAAGGAAGUCAUCAGCAAGGAAAAGUGAGAGUUCAUUGGAGGAAAAUAAAAGUUGAGGUGAAGACAGCUUCUCAUUGGCUGAGCUGUGGCGUUUUCUAUUGGCUGGGCUUGUUGCUGGGCAAGAAGGAAGUCUUCCUCCCUCUGGGGCAAUAAAGUAGCUGGGCUACCUGUUUGGGAACGCAAGGCACAUCUCUUCCUAUUGGGGUCAGUGACUGAUAUCUUUCUGUUGGAGUCAGUAACUGAUGUUUUUCUGUUGGGAUAACUGACGUCUUCCUGUUUGGGGUAAUUCACACGAGUGAUAGAGCGUGAGAGCUCCCUCUACGGUCCUUCCUGACUCCAAUUUUGGUUGAGGUUUCCUUUCAUUAACUUUCAAGGAAGGUUUCAAAAAUGAUACAAGGUGAUACCUCAUUGUAGUUUUGAUUUGCAUUUCUCUCUGAUUAGUGAUGUUGAGCAUCCUUUCAUUUGUUUGUUGGCAAUCUGUAUGUCUUCUCUGGAGAAAUGUCUAUUUAGGUCUUCUGCCCAUUUUUGGGUUGGGUUCUUUGUUUGAUAUUUAGCUGCAUGUGCUGCUUGUAAAUUUUGAUUCACUUUGUUAUACAGCAGAAACUAACACACCAUUGUAAAGCAAUUAUCCUCCAAUAAAGAUGUUAAAAAAAAAUAAUAAUACGAGGUGUGGGAUUCCCCCCAUCAAUAGUCACCAAGAGCUGGGAGAAAAUGAGAGAGGUGGUGUUUCCAAUUUGGAGAGAGGAGAGCCUAAAUUGUGUUUCCUUGCGCAUAUCCCCCAGGUGGGACCCCAUUCUUUCUGUCCCCCAACUCCCCAGGAGCAUGGUCCUCUUCUGUAUUCUGAGUUCUAAUUUCCCAAGAUCUAUAAUUUAAGGACUGUCCCAGCUCUGUACUCUGGGCUCCGUGAUGCAAGGUGGUGAGGCUGUUUGCCAAAAGUUUUUCCUUCACAUCCCUCUAGGUGGUGGUGGGUGAAUACAGCUUAUUUUAUUCUCCAUCUUCAGAGGUGUUGUGUUUCCAUUUCCAUCGCCGUCUGAGAGCCUGGGGGGGCGGGGAGAGGACAGAUGAAGCACAAACCAUAAAGGGCAGAGCCUCAACUUGUACUGUUUCUAGGCAGCAGGCUUGCUUCCAGCAAUCAGAGCUGAAACAGACUUUGGAGGGCCCACGGUCCAACCCUCUCGUACUGCAGGUCAGAGAUUGCAUAAAAGGAGGCAACGCUCCAAAAUCCACUUAAAGGGAACCAUGUUCCCGGGCGGCUGCUUUAAGCUCUGAAAGGUCAGCUGAGGGACCCCACAUCUGCAGCUGUCCUCACUCCCCCCAUGUGCUUAUGGGCUUCUCCCCCAUCCCACAGCAAACCAGUGAGCUAGGAGCUGUUCACAGAAGAGACGCUGAGGCCCAAGAGGAAGUGACUCUGCCCAAGCCCUUCAUCCCAGAGAUGGAAGAGCUGGGAUCACUGGCCAGUGAACCCCAAGGCUGCCCAGUAGGGGAUGCAAGAUGGUUUGGAAACCUCCAGGGCCCUCAUCUCCAGGGAGCGCCAGCUGUGAUGGGAGAGACCCUUUCCUACCUGGCAAGGUUCCCAACUGGGAAGGCAUCUGAGACUAAAGCAGGGGCCCCCGUCUAUCCCCAGGGACGACCAGCACCUCACAACUGUAACAGGUCCCCUCUGACUCCUCCCUUGGUAGCUGCCUUCCCCUUACUCCCCAGGUAAAUGACUGGAGGGGAGCGUCUGGCUCUUAGCUGGUAUUCAGGAAAUCUUUGUUGAAUAAACAAACGAAUAAAUGAGAACAGAUAAAUUACCAUGUUAACAAGAGCAAACGAAUACAGUCCAGAUCAAGUUAUAAGUUGUUUAUAAGUACUGAGGGACAAUGAGCUGAUAUCUACUGGGCCAGGAUCCAUCAGGGAGGGUUGGAAGGUGAUACAUCUGGAAGGAGGGGCUGUAACUUCACAGAGAUUGCAGAGGAAGGGCUCUGGGGGAGGGAGAACAGGUCGGGCCAAGGUUCUGAGGUAAGGACGUGCAGCCCCAAUGGGACGGAAGUAAGUGAUCAUGGUUGGAGCAGGGGACAGUGUCGGAGUGACAUGAGUGGACACAGGGGAAUGGAGUUCAGCAAUUCAUUUUUUCUUCAAGCUGUCCUCAGGGCUAGAGGGACAAGUCCGUUGUGUUGAGUUAGAUGUCAGAUAAGGCUUGAAAAUGAAAAAAAUGGAAAGAAAGAUUAGAAAACUGUCCCCAGGAUAGCUGAGUGAUUUGGAGAUUGGUCAUCUCCAAAAUACUGUGGUCAACCAGUUCCUUCAAAAGUCAGGGCACCCUGGGUUUGGGUCCCGGCAUGGCCAUGAAAUAGGUGUGUGUUCUUGGGCAAGUGACUCCUGUUCCUGGAGCCUCAGUUUUCCCAUCUGUAAAAUGGGUGGAGAGUUGGAAAUUUGACCCCUGUGGUGCAAGGUCCUGAAUGUAUGUUCCACCAGUGGGAACCUGCAGAGGACAGUGGGUGGGGAAUCCGAGAUUCUGUCGUUCUGGGGGCCGCCUCAGAGGUGCCUCUGUGGUGCCAGAAGUCAUUGUGAGGGUCUCUUUGUCGGGACCCCACAAUCCUCUGCUUCCUCUCUGGCCUUGGCUUCUGCCCCUGUAACGUUUCCCUAAGAGGCUGUGCUAGUCCUUUGCCAGACCAACAAUUUGUCUUGGCCUUCAGGAGCCAGCCCAAGCAUGAGCCCCUUCAGGUACUGCUUCUAGUUUUAUUAAGUCUAGCAAUGAAAAUCGUAACAUUGAUUUUGCUCUUACCAUGUGCCAUGCCCUGUGUUAAGCAACUCAUUUAAUCCUGAACAACAACCCUGAAAGGUAGGUACUACAGGCAGACCUCGGAGAUUCUGCAGGUUCAGUUCCAGACCACCGCAAUAAAGCAAAUAUCACAAUACGGUGAGCCACGAGGCUUUUUGGUUUCCCAGCGCAUAUAAAGUUAUGUUUACACGAUACUGUAGUCGAUUAAGCGUGCAAGAGUGUUAUGUCUAAAAACACAAUGUAUAUACAUUAAUUUAAAAAUACUUUAUUGCUAAAAAAUGCUAACCCAUCUUCGGAGCCUUCAGCGAGUCCUAAUCUUUUUGCUGGUGGAGGGUUUGAGAUAUUACAAGAAUUACCAAAAUGUGACUCAGAGACCUGAAGUGAGCAAAUGCUUUUGGAAAAAUGACAUUGAUAGACUUGUCCGACACAGGGUUGCCACAAACCUUCAAUCUGUAAAAAUGUAAUAUCUGGGAAAUGCAAUAAAAUGAGGUCUGCCUGUAGUAAUAUUGUUCCUAGGUGGGAAAAUUGAGGCUCAGAGGAGAUCAGUAGUGUGGAGGGGAAGCCAGAGGUAUGGGGGCGGGGCUGGCCACUUAUUCUGCAGUGCAAGCCCUGACCUCCAGGCUUGGUUCAGUGUCUCCAGCCUGGGCACCCAAGGACAACGACCUCCCUCCUGCAGAGUUAAAGGGCAGGAAGGUGGCCUGAAGACCCGGGGUGGCCUCCUGGAACUGGUUUUUCUCGCUCUGAGCCUCAGCUUGAGGCAGAGACUGUGCCAGUUCUGGACGCUGAGGACUUGGAAAUGGUUCUUUCGGAACUUUCCAGUCACGUGGUGUUGUUGUGCCUCUGUGGACUGGGCGGGGCCAUGGGAGGCCCCUCAGGCUGGCACCUGCCAUCUGUGAUCAAUGCAUAGGACGCUUGCGGGCCAGGUGCCAGCAGAGCCAAGAGCACAGGCCUGGGAGUUGGAGGCCUGGACUGGACACAGUGCUGGCUUUCUUGGUCAUCUGCUGAGUGGCUUUGGUCAGGCCCGUCCUGUUCUGGCCUCAGUUUUCCCAUCUGUAAAAUGAAUGCAUUGGGUAAAUCCUAGCAACUUAGAGAGAACAGUCAACACAGCAGUGGCCGAGACUUGUAUUGACAUGGCGUGUGUGGUGACGAGGUGUGUGAGAGCGUGUGUCUAUGAGUGUGUGAGCGCGGGGUCGGGAGAAGCUGGGCGCCUUCUCAGGUCAGAGGAGUUGGCAUGUGAAAGACAGAGGGCGGGGGAAGAGUCCUGAUGGACAGUCAGGAGGCCAGGCCCUCGUCCUGACUGCAGCACUGACUUGCUUGUGUCUCUGACCUGGCUGUACCUGCUCUCUGGGCAUGUGGACCCCCAUGUAUAAAAGAAGAGCUUCGGGUUGAAUAAUCUCUAGUGUCCCUGUGGCUGUGAGUCUGAUUCUGCAAAGACUUGUCUGAAUGCUAACAGAGUGGCUGGGUGAUUGGUGAAGUGAUCAGUGUGUUGGAGUCAGGGGCAUCCUGGGUAUGACCUUGGCUUUGUCCCUUGCUGACCAUGUAACCCUGGGUGGUCCCUUCGCCGGUCCCCUUCUUCAUCGGGGACAGUGGCCGUAGUGCUGAGAGCCCACAACACUCUUAGGGGCCCAUGACAUGUUUUAAUUUCUCUUUAAAACCAGAAAUUAAAAAUUGAACUUA